UAUGUACACUGUUAACGAUUUCUGUAAAUUACACUGUAUUUUACUGUAAUAUGAACUGUAUUUUACCGUAGGGCAUGUUAUACAGUAUGUUGCUGUAUUUUGAUGUUGCAUUGUGGGAAAUGUAAUCUUUGUGCCAGUAAAAUACUGUAUUUUCUAUUUACUGUAAAAUUUACAGUUAAUUAAAAAUACUGUAUUUUAAUAGCAGGUGGUGCUAAUUUGUUUUUUGGGGAUUAACUCUCUGAUUAAGCUAUCUUAUACAAAUAAUGUAAUAUUAUUGUAUUUAUAUAUUGAUUUAAAAUGUAAAGUAAAAUUCAGAAGACUUAAACAAAGUCCUAAAAACAAUCAAACAACUAAAUUAGUGCAAGUAGAGCUGAUUUAUUUAUCAAAACACAAUAUAAUCAUCUUCAUUAAAGUAUUUUGUAUAUUCGAAUUAAUUUAUAAAUGUAAGUGUUUAAAAAUUAGAGAUAGGUUUUGCCGGUUGUUGAUGAGUGAUGAAUACCAGCUGUGAAUUUUCUCAACGCGUGUAAGCAGCCAUGACACAGGAAACCGAAACAGUGUUCCAAUAUAAAGUGAGGGUCCUUGACAGUGGCCGAACCCGCAUACUACACGAUAUAAUGAUUCCCCACCUCGGGAGCUAUAGGGAACGAAUUGAGACACAGCCCUGGAUGUAAUCACGUCUGUGCUGAUCACGUGCCUGUACACAAACCCGCCGCAGCUCACUUGCAAAAGAUUAUCCUGUUAUUUAUUACACGUAUAGUAAACGUUUUUAAUGUUAUCAUGAAUCAAUGUUAUAGUUUUGUAUGUCACAUUAUUUUUUGAGAAGAGUCAUGACUCAACGCGGACCUUACACGCUGUUAAUUUGUGUGUGCAUAUGGCGGUACAGGCUCUUUUGCACUCUAUGACCAGCCAUCAUUAAAUCGAAAUACAGUAAAAAAAAAUGAGCGCGAAACCCUGACACUUUACAGAAAGGCACGGAUAUCCCCGCCCGAAGAAAAAAAGAGCACAGGACAAUGGUUGCAAGUUAAACAGCUGAACAUUUCACCAUCUGCAAAGAACAUUUCACCAUCGACAUAUCAACAUAAACGGUCCUCUUUUUCGAGUUUGACUGCGUUUGGUACAGGUCACAACAACAACGGCAGAUGUAGAGACCACGCUUUCCCUUGCUUCCACUCCACGGCUGAUCAUGCUUGAGGAUCCAGAUCUACAAAACUAAAAAUGGAUGCUGCCGAUUGAAGGCUAAGUCCGCUUUCCUGCAAUUUACCUACCAUUUCUUCAGCAUUUGCUUUUCACUUUGGUUGCUACUACGUGCUCAACAUCGAGUACCAAGUGCAAGCAGCCACUACUUUGGAGUUUAUUCAGAGAUUUAUUGUGAGGAUCAGCCCCGACAACAGCAAGUGCUCCUCUAACUUCCAGGUGAGCAAAAGAAGUGGGAAGAUGGUGCAAAGGAGGAACUCUGGCCUGAACCAUCAUGUAUAUAUCCACCUUUAUUAAGGACUUUAUGAAUUAAGCAAAACUAUUAAGCAACUAAAGCAAAUACAUUCUACUCAACUCACCAGAGGUUUGUGAAGUUCUUUUUUUAUCUUAAAGGUUUCUUUUAGUUAAUUUGUCCAUGCACUGAUUUAUAAUAUUGUAAUAUGAAACUCCAGUGUAUACAUGUUACUACUGUUGCUUCUAAAAGCAAAAUAAGUC